rnacentral:rRNA from 1 species
GAUGAACGCUGGCGGCGUGCCUAAUACAUGCAAGUCGAGCGAACGGACGAGAAGCUUGCUUCUCUGAUGUUAGCGGCGGACGGGUGAGUAACACGUGGAUAACCUACCUAUAAGACUGGGAUAACUUCGGGAAACCGGAGCUAAUACCGGAUAAUAUUUUGAACCGCAUGGUUCAAAAGUGAAAGACGGUCUUGCUGUCACUUAUAGAUGGAUCCGCGCUGCAUUAGCUAGUUGGUAAGGUAACGGCUUACCAAGGCAACGAUGCAUAGCCGACCUGAGAGGGUGAUCGGCCACACUGGAACUGAGACACGGUCCAGGCUCCAACGGGAGGCAGCAGUAGGGAAUCUUCCGCAAAGGGCGAAAGCCUGACGGAGCAACGCCGCGUGAGUGAUGAAGGUCUUCGGAUCGUAAAACUCUGUUAUUAGGGAAGAACAUAUGUGUAAGUAACUGUGCACAUCUUGACGGUACCUAAUCAGAAAGCCACGGCUAACUACGUG